rnacentral:rRNA from 1 species
AGUGAACGCUGGCGGUAUGCCUAAUACAUGCAAGUCGAACGGCAGCACAAUAAGAUUGCUUCUUUACGGUUAGCGGCGGGCGGGUGAGUAAGGAGUACAUCAGCAUCUACUUUUUCGUGGAGAACAUCGUGAAACAGCUGAUGAUAACGGCGCAUACGAUCAACGGGAGAAAUCAGAAGUUAUUCGCAGCUUUCGUGUUUGUUUUAGCCGAUGCCGCAUUAGCUAGUUGGCUAGGUAACGGCUCACCAAGGCAACGAUACGUAGCUGAGCUGAGAGGAUGAUCGGCCACACUGGAACUGAGACACGGUCCAGACUCCUACGGGAGGCAGCAGUAGGGAAUCUUCCGCAAUGGGCGAAAGCCUGACGGAGCAACGCCGCGUGAGUGAUGAAGGUCUUCGGAUCGUAAAACUCUGUUAUUAGGGAAGAACAUAUGUGUAAGUAACUGUGCACAUCUUGACGGUACCUAAUCAGAAAGCCACGGCUAACUACGUG